AGCCGUUUGGCACCCGGAACUCUGGUCUGAAGUGCUGGGUGUGAGGGCUCCACACGCGGCCCCCUGUGAGCCAGUGAAAUUAGACUCAGCGCAAGGAAAAAAGAAACAAGAUCCAGGGCCGGGGCAGAGUGUCUGCACAUGGCUGCUGAGCUGAGAUGUGGGUGCAGCCAUUUUGCAUAAGGAACCCUGGUCUGAAAUUCUGGAUGCAAGUCCUCUGCAUGCAGUGCCCUGUGAGCCAGUGAAAGUAGACUAAGCACAAAGGAAAACAAAAAAACGGAGAUGAAGAACAAUUUAUUGGUCACUAAUUCAGAGCAAACACCGCAUCCUGCAAAAGACCACCCCAGCUUUAUAGCGUGUGGUCCGGCCUACGAGGGAAUGUGGGGAAAAUGAACGUAAUUAACAUCUGAGA